ensembl:lncRNA
GCGACUGUCAGCUCGGUGGAGGAUCAAUCCCUUCGCUGCUGCCGUCACUCUGGCAGAGACGCUGUGGUGCUUUUGACCUUCAGACUCAGGGCAUCGACGCCCGGCAUGCCAGGCUGACACCACCCCCUGCUCCUCCCUCCCCCAUGAAAUUCAACAACUGGAGCCUUUUUGCUGAUCGGCACUUCUCGACCGCAGGAGAUGCCGACACAUCAGAGAUGCACUUGGCCCUAAAGAGGGUGACCGGCCGGCCAUGACAUCCUGGCCGUAACUCGGCCGGUACCACAGCGGCCCGUCUGCUCACUGUCUCUUUUGAGGGCCACGGUCGAAGUCGCUGCCCGGUCUCACCUUACAAAGGCCACGAAUAUAAAGCC